ACGCCGCGUGGAGGAUGACGGUCUUCGGAUUGUAAACUCCUGUCAUCCGGGAGAAAGACCUGGCCGUUAAUAGCGGACAGGGUUGAUAGUACCGGAAGAGGAAGGGACGGCUAACUUCGUGCCAGCAACUGCGGUGACUGAGCGGGCUGGCAAGGCGCAUA
rnacentral:rRNA from 1 species